rnacentral:rRNA from 1 species
AGAGUUUGAUUAUGGCUCAGAACGAACGCUGGCGGCGCGUUUAAGCAUGCAAGUCGAGCGGCAAGGGCCUUCGGGCCCCUAGAGCGGCGGACGGGUGAGUAACACGUGGACAAUCUGCCCCCGGCCCGGGAUAGCCCAGGGAAACCUGGAUUAAUACCGGAUGAGACGGGACCCGCGAUGGCGGGACCCGGGAAAGGCGCUGCGGCGCCGCCGGGGGAUGAGUCUGCGUCCCAUUAGCUAGACGGCGGGGUAACGGCCCACCGUGGCGACGAUGGGUAGCCGGCCUGAGAGGGUGGACGGCCACAUUGGAACUGAGACACGGUCCAGACUCCUACGGGAGGCAGCAGCUAAGAAUCUUCCGCAAUGGGCGAAAGCCUGACGGAGCGACGCCCGCGUGAACGAAGAAGGCCGUGAGGUUGUAAAGUUCUUUUCGGGAGGGGGAACAACCGUGGCAGGGAAUGGCCGCGGGAUGACGUGAAUCCCGGAAUAAGCCCCGGCUAACUACGUGCCAGCCGCAGC